rnacentral:lncRNA from 10 species
GAGACACAGAAAACUGUAAAUGAUGCAAAAACAGCUGAACUGAAUAUGAGAGAUGUUCAAGAGUUAUGACCUGAGAAGAUGUCCCCGCCAUCAAUAGACAUUGCAGGAUGUGAUACCACUCUGGAGGACUUUGAAGUUUCUGGAUUUGGUUGAAGAAAGAUGCUUUGGACAUUUUGAAUUUGAGAUGCUUCUCCAGAAGUCUUAUGGAUCUGAAGCAUGGGAGAGGAGUAUAAGCUGGGGAAAUAAGUUUGGGGGUUACCAGAAAACUAGCAGUGGGUAAGGCCAUGAGCAAAUGAAAUCAAAUAGAGGAUGAAGAGAACAGGAGCCCUAGCAAACCUUGACAGUUAAAGAGUAUGCAGGGAAAAGGACUUAGAAAGGACCCUGUAAAGAAAGAUCCAAGAUGACC